rnacentral:lncRNA from 1 species
CUAUAAAUAGUAGGGAGGAAGCUUAAAUUUAAGUCCAUCCCACAAAAAACACAACUGAGAAUUGAGAGAGUUUGUAAGUGUGUAGAUGUAGCUAAGGAGCUCCUUUCAGGCCAAGACCGAGGGUCGAGGAACGGCAAGAGCUGCCAUGUCAUGCAUAUUGGUUAAGCUCAACAAAUUACUAGCAAAAUCGUUAAGAAUAACCAGUUGCAUGAGAGGGGAGCAACUACUUCCGUUAACUUGCCCCACUUAUUGGACUGAAGGGAGCUCCUCCUUAUAUAUUCAUACUUAAUAUAUUAGGUAAAACUAAUGUAAGUAAGUUCCUUUUGUAGCUUUCAAAGGUGUAGAAAUUAAAUAGAUUGGCACUGAUAUGCAUUUUUCUUCAUUACGUUUCAUUCUUUUUUUUUUGUACUUGUGUAUGGCGUUAAUCAUAGUUAAGCAGCACUAACGUUACUGAUCCUUCCAUUUUCUGUUAAAAUUGGUGCGAUAAAGGUAAAGAUCUAAGACAUUCAUUAAUUAUAGUCCAAUUCUCUUUAUAUCUUUGUUAUCUUCCAAUGAUUUAUUGUUGUUCGUGUUCUACUUGCUCUGGCGUUCGAGACAAGUCUGUCGUAUUCUGGAGUAACUAACUCAUUUUUCUGCGCAGGAAAAUUUGGAAGAGCCAUGCUUAUGGAGAAAACAAAUUAAUCUGGGGCAAAAAACUCCAACUUGCCUUUGAGGCAAAUAAGCCACUAGGUGAUUUCUUUAUAUGUCUAAGAGCCCGUUUGGAUGGUUUUUUUUAAAGUGACUUUUAAGCAUAAGUCGAUAAGUUAGGAAUUCUAACUUUUAGCUUUUAACUUGUUUUUGUCAUUUUAGCUUAAAAAUAAGAGCUUAAAACUAUUUUUUUGUUUUAUCCAAAUAUUAUAAAAUGACUUAAAAGCUAUUUUGGCUUAAAAACACUUAAAAUAAACAAAUCCAAACGGGCUCUAAAUCUGUGGUGGACAGAGUUAAUAUUUGUACUAGUGGGAUGUUGUAGAUAUCCUUUGUAAUCUAUUGGAUACAGACACCACAAUUAUAAAAAUAAAAAAAAAACUCCAACAUGCCUCUCUAGGCUCUUCGAGUCUUAAUAGUGAUACUUUCAGCUGUCGUUGUCCCUAAUACAGAAAAUGUAUUUACAUUGUUAUUCUGGAA